AAUCAGGUCUCUAUGAUUGGGCAUAUGUUCUUGACAAAAAUUGACAUUUUAUUCUUAACCUUUGCAAAUAUGAAACUUCUGUAAUUAUUGCAGCUACUUAUAGAACUAGACGGUGCUGAUACAAAUAGGCUUGAAGUCAUGGACCUGGGAGACUUCUAUAUAUCCCUCUACCUAGUCCAGAUGAACGCGGACUAAUUGUAAUAGCUCUUGGCCAGAAAAAACCUAUAGAUGCUAGUGUCCACUUAAUGACCAUGGGAAGAGAUGAUGCCUGUAAAAUGUUAGUGGAGUGGACCUAGCACUGGUUUGUUAAUCUGUUGUGUUAACCCUCUUGUUUUACCUGCCUUUAUUGCCCCACCCAUUUUCCUUCCCACCCCCCUUCCCCUUUGAUUGCACUUGAAGAUAAAUUGACAGCCAACAGCUAUGCCAAAAAUCAUCUUUUGGAAUGCUCGAAAUUGAUUGUUUCUUUCCAUUAGAAGGCAGCAAUUGGGAAGUUUACUGGCGUGCACCGAAAGUAGAGCACUUCUAAGUAUGGCAAUGCUGCAAGCUGUGAACCGGCUUCUUUUCUAUUAGUAGCCUGGUUCUUGGAUAAGACGCAUGUUGUUCCUCCUUAUGUGUUCUUAUCCUAGAACCAGACUUCUAAUAGAAAAGAAGCCGGUUCACAGCUUGCAGCAUUGCCAUAUUUAGAAGUGCUCUACUUUCGGUGCACGGCAGUAAGCUUCCCAAUUGCUGCCUUAUGAUGGAAAGAAACAAUCAAUUUCGAGCAUUUCAAAAGCUGAUUUUUGGCAUAGCUGCUGGCUGUCAAUUUAUCUUCAAGUGCAAUCAUUGCAGCUUCAUUCAUCUGCACAUUUAAGCAAUUAGUAAAAAAGCACCCAUCCCCAGAGCCUGGGGCAACAACUUAUGUUGCACAUCAACAAUUUCAUUCAAAACUAAACACAACUACUGCAGAAGUAUAUAUAUAUUCACACGAAUUUGGUUUCAAGAUUGUUGAGGAUUUUAUAUUUGUUAUAAAAGAAUUGUGGAGAUUGUGAUGUA